UAUUAGGUUGGUGCAAAAGUAGUUGCGGUUUUUGUCAUUAAAAGUAAUGGCAAAAACCGCAACUACUUUUGCACCAAACUAAAUA
rfam:Papio anubis isolate 1X1155 chromosome 7, whole genome shotgun sequence.